rnacentral:rRNA from 1 species
CCAGACUCCUACGGGAGGCAGCAGCUAAGAAUAUUCCGCAAUGGACGGAAGUCUGACGGAGCGACGCCGCGUGGAUGAAGAAGGCUGAAAAGUUGUAAAAUCCUUUUGUUGAUGAAGAAUAAGGGGAAGAGGGAAUGCUUCUCUGAUGACGGUAAUCGACGAAUAAGCCCCGGCUAAUUACGUGCCAGCAGCCGCGGUAACACGUAAGGGGCGAGCGUUGUUCGGAAUUAUUGGGCGUAAAGGGCAUGUAGGCGGCUAUGUAAGCCUGAUGUGAAAUCCUGGGGCUUAACCCUAGAAUAGCAUUGGGUACUGUAUAGCUUGAAUUACGGAAGGGAAACUGGAAUUCCAAGUGUAGGGGUGGAAUCUGUAGAUAUUUGGAAGAACACCGGUGGCGAAGGCGGGUUUCUGGCCGAUAAUUGACGCUGAGAUGCGAAAGUGUGGGGAUCGAACAGGAUUAGAUACCCUGGUAGUCCACACUGUAAACGAUGUACACUAGGUGUUGGGGCAAGAGCUUCAGUGCCAAAGCAAACGCGAUAAGUGUACCGCCUGGGGAGUAUGCCCGCAAGGGUGAAACUCAAAGGAAUUGACGGGGCCCGCACAG